UGUUGGGCUUGAGUGUGGUAGGGGCAGAGGGAAUUCCCGGUGUAGCGGUGAAAUGCGUAGAUAUCGGGAAGAACACCAGUGGCGAAGGCGCUCUGCUGGGCCAUAACUGACGCUCAUGGACGAAAGCCAGGGGAGCGAAAGGGAUUAGAUACCCCUGUAGUCCUGGCCGUAAACGAUGAACACUAGGUGUCGGGGGAAUCGACCCCCUCGGUGUCGUAGCCAACGCGUUAAGUGUUCCGCCUGGGGAGUACGCACGCAAGUGUGAAACUCAAAGGAAUUGACGGGGGCCCGCACAAGCGGUGGAGUAUGUGGUUUAAUUCGAUGCAACGCGAAGAACCUUACCAGGGUUUGACAUCCUGCGAACCUCUAAGAAAUUGGAGGGUGCCUUCGGGAACGCAGUGACAGGUGGUGCAUGGCUGUCGUCAGCUCGUGUCGUGAGAUGUUGGGUUAAGUCCCGCAACGAGCGCAACCCACGUUUUUAGUUGCCAGCAUUCAGUUGGGCACUCUAGAGAGACCGCCGGUGAUAAACCGGAGGAAGGUGUGGAUGACGUCAAGUCAUCAUGCCCCUUACAUCCUGGGCUACACACGUACUACAAUGCUACGGACAAAGGGCAGCAAACUCGCGAGAGCUAGCAAAUCCCAUAAACCGUGGCUCAGUUCAGAUCGUAGGCUGCAACUCGCCUACGUGAAGGAGGAAUCGCUAGUAAUCGCAGGUCAGCAUACUGCGGUGAAUACGUUCCCGGGCCUUGUACACACCGCCCGUCACACCAUGGAAGUUGGCCACGCCCGAAGUCGUUACUCCAACCCUUGUGGAGGAGGACGCCGAAGGUGGGCAAGGUAACC
rnacentral:rRNA from 1 species